GACGAACGCUGGCGGCGUGCUUAACACAUGCAAGUCGAGCGGUAAGGCCUUUCGGGGUACACGAGCGGCGAACGGGUGAGUAACACGUGGGUGAUCCGCCCUGCACUCUGGGAUAAGCCUGGGAAACUGGGUCUAAUACUGGAUAUGACCUCAGCAUGCAUGUGCUGGGGUGGAAAGCUUUUGUGGUGCAGGAUGGGCCCGCGGCCUAUCAGCUUGUUGGUGGGGUAAUGGCCUACCAAGGCGACGACGGGUAGCCGACCUGAGAGGGUGACCGGCCACACUGGGACUGAGACACGGCCCAGACUCCUACGGGAGGCAGCAGUGGGGAAUAUUGCACAAUGGGCGGAAGCCUGAUGCAGCGACGCCGCGUGAGGGAUGAAGGCCUUCGGGUUGUAAACCUCUUUCAGCAGGGACGAAGCGUGAGUGACGGUACCUGCAGAAGAAGCACCGGCUAACUACGUGCCAGCCGCCGCAGUAACAC
rnacentral:rRNA from 1 species